CCUACGGGAGGCAGCAGUGGGGAAUAUUGCACAAUGGGCGAAAGCCUGAUGCAGCGACGCCGCGUGAGGGAUGACGGCCUUCGGGUUGUAAACCUCUUUCAGCAGGGAAGAAGCGAAAGUGACGGUACCUGCAGAAGAAGCGCCGGCUAACUACGUGCCAGCAGCCGCGGUAAUACGUAGGGCGCAAGCGUUGUCCGGAAUUAUUGGGCGUAAAGAGCUCGUAGGCGGCUUGUCACGUCGGGUGUGAAAGCCCGGGGCUUAACCCCGGGUCUGCAUUCGAUACGGGCCAGCUAGAGUGUGGUAGGGGAGAUCGGAAUUCCUGGUGUAGCGGUGAAAUGCGCAGAUAUCAGGAGGAACACCGGUGGCGAAGGCGGAUCUCUGGGCCAUUACUAACGCUGAGGAGCGAAAGCGUGGGGAGCGAACAGGAUUAGAUACCCUGGUAGUCCACGCCGUAAACGGUGGGAACUAGGUGUUGGCGACAUUCCACGUCGUCGGUGCCGCAGCUAACGCAUUAAGUUCCCGCCUGGGGAGUACGGCCGCAAGGCUAAAACUCAAAGGAAUUGACGG
rnacentral:rRNA from 1 species